AUCUUGACGGACGAAUUCAAAAGCGAUGACGAUCGGUUUUCCGUUUGUCGUCGGUUUGAUGUUUCGUCCGUCCAAGUGAAGACGUCGCGACCCGUUCGACGGUAGUCGAAGCGAGUUGGUGUGAUAGUUCUCGAUCCGAUCUCGGUUCGUUGAGCACGCCGACUCGGCUGGCUACCUGCGUCGGACGGUAGGUGAUCGUAUGGCUGAGCUCGGCAACGUACCUGUUGCUGGCCAGUCGGUCGGCGACGAUUCCUCGGGUCUCUAUCCGACCCGUCUUGAAACACGGACCAAGGAGUCUAACGUGUGCGCGAGUCACGGGGUGUCUCGCGGUACUUCGGUGCCGCGAGUUAACAACACGAAACCCGAAAGGCGCAAUGAAAGUGAGAGCAACGGUCUUCGGGCCGUUGCUGGGAAGACGGUCGUCUCGAGCACACGUUCCUCGAACGUCGAGGCCGAGCUCCCUCAUUCCCGAGGCGUCCCGUACGGAGCGUCGGCGUUUGGCUUCGGUCUUUCGCCGGCGAUCCGGGGCGCACUCUUAGCGUACGCGUUGGUACCCGAAAGAUGGUGAACUAUGCCUGGCCAGGAUGAAGUCAGGGGAAACCCUGAUGGAGGUCCGCAGCGAUUCUGACGUGCAAAUCGAUCGUCUGAGCUGGGUAU
rnacentral:rRNA from 1 species